rnacentral:rRNA from 1 species
AACGAACGCUGGCGGCAUGCCUAACACAUGCAAGUCGAACGAGACCUUCGGGUCUAGUGGCGCACGGGUGCGUAACGAGUGGGAAGCUGCCCUUAGGUUCGGAAUAACUCCCCGAAAGGGGUGCUAAUACCGGAUAAUGUCUUCGGACCAAAGAUUUAUCGCCUUUGGAUGGGCCCGGGUUGGAUUAGCUAGUUGGUAGGGUAAAAGCCUACCAAGGCGACGAUCCAUAGCUGGUCUGAGAGGAUGAUCAGCCACACUGGGACUGAGACACGGCCCAGACUCCUACGGGAGGCAGCAGUGGGGAAUAUUGGACAAUGGGCGAAAGCCUGAUCCAGCAAUGCCGCGUGAGUGAUGAAGGCCUUAGGGUUGUAAAGCUCUUUUACCCGGGAUGAUAAUGACAGUACCGGGAGAAUAAGCUCCGGCUAACUCCGUG